rnacentral:rRNA from 1 species
AGAGUUUGAUCCUGGCUCAGGACGAACGCUGGCGGCGCGCCUAACACAUGCAAGUCGAACGAGCGAGAGAGAGCUUGCUUUCUCGAGCGAGUGGCGAACGGGUGAGUAACGCGUGAGGAACCUGCCUCAAAGAGGGGGACAACAGUUGGAAACGACUGCUAAUACCGCAUAAGCCCACGACCCGGCAUCGGGUAGAGGGAAAAGGAGCAAUCCGCUUUGAGAUGGCCUCGCGUCCGAUUAGCUAGUUGGUGAGGUAACGGCCCACCAAGGCGACGAUCGGUAGCCGGACUGAGAGGUUGAACGGCCACAUUGGGACUGAGACACGGCCCAGACUCCUACGGGAGGCAGCAGUGGGGAAUAUUGCACAAUGGGGGAAACCCUGAUGCAGCGACGCCGCGUGGAGGAAGAAGGUCUUCGGAUUGUAAACUCCUGUUGUUGAGGAAGAUAAUGACGGUACUCAACAAGGAAGUGACGGCUAACUACGUGCCAGCAGCCGCGGUAAAACGUAGGUCACAAGCGUUGUCCGGAAUUACUGGGUGUAAAGGGAGCGCAGGCGGGAAGACAAGUUGGAAGUGAAAUCCAUGGGCUCAACCCAUGAACUGCUUUCAAAACUGUUUUUCUUGAGUAGUGCAGAGGUAGGCGGAAUUCCCGGUGUAGCGGUGGAAUGCGUAGAUAUCGGGAGGAACACCAGUGGCGAAGGCGGCCUACUGGGCACCAACUGACGCUGAGGCUCGAAAGUGUGGGUAGCAAACAGGAUUAGAUACCCUGGUAGUCCACACUGUAAACGAUGAUUACUAGGUGUUGGAGGAUUGACCCCUUCAGUGCCGCAGUUAACACAAUAAGUAAUCCACCUGGGGAGUACGACCGCAAGGUUGAAACUCAAAGGAAUUGACGGGGGCCCGCACAAGCAGUGGAGUAUGUGGUUUAAUUCGACGCAACGCGAAGAACCUUACCAAGUCUUGACAUCCUGCGACGGUUCUGGAAACAGAACUUUCCUUCGGGACGCAGAGACAGGUGGUGCAUGGUUGUCGUCAGCUCGUGUCGUGAGAUGUUGGGUUAAGU